UAUAGUUUUUGUAUUCAUUGUGCGAAGCAGAAUGAAUACAGAGUUAUAAGUACAAUCUCAAAAAAAGGUAGGCAGAGUGGAUUUGCUGAACAGCAUCCAUCCGCUUAUACGUCCGUGACAUAAAGUAGUUCAUGAUUUGCACUUAAAUCGCUUUAAGCAUACGCUAAGCGAUGACUUAUCUGUCCCAAUGUUGCAAAAAAUUAUGUUAAAGUUUUUUCUACCCGAAAAUCAUGCACUUUAUUCAUGUUUGACAUCUAAAAACAUCGAUAAAAAUUUCCUGUAUUUCUACGCUACAAAUUAUUAUUAACGCAUGCGCAGACUCACAAUAAUUUAUCGAAGAGAACAACACGUAAGAGAAAUUGCUCAGGAAAGAAUCAACAACCAUCGCACAUAUUGUUGACUGUAACCUUUUUGUCGUGGGUAUUGUAGCGGAUAUUCCUUGUGACGGAAAUAAAAGAUUAUUUACUUUAAUAUUCACUUGGAAAGGCUGGUACAUGUAGCUAGAAAAAGUACAGUAUAAGAUUAAAGAAAGACCAGAAGAUUAUUACAAACAACAGGUGGACAUGUGUCACUGUCAAGCGAAUGAAGAUAAGCAUCACACUCGGUGGGAAUCUCCAGUUUCCAGAUGUAGUGAUCAUAACUGUAUAGGCACCAUUAACACUUUGGACUAGUUGGAGUAUUUUAGAGGGCUAGUCUGAAUUGAAUCCCCUGUCAAUAGUAAAGGCCAGUCAUGAACAUUGUGUUGAAGGAAAAUGUUAAAACUCGGAUUUUCCGCUUAACCAAUCAUUACUUUACCUUAUAUUCAGUGCGGUAAUGUAGGAAAUGGUUACUUUCUGGAACAGAGCUGUCAAUUAUUUUUAAUUUAUUAGCUUGUUAGUGUUAUCGUCGGACAGUUGUGAAGUAAAAACAUCAUAGUUUGACUGUAUACAAGUUGCCUUAAAGAAAGUAUGUCGAAAUCUUAACAGUUAUUCGUUGAUUUUGUAGAAAUUGACUAGAAUUCACCUUUGUUAACAUGCAUCGCUUGGACGUCGAAAACGACAUGCAAUGACAUUUCAGUGAAAUUUGGAAACUUGCUCGUAUUUUGGAGCAUUUUGUAGGAUUUCGAUGAAGUAAAAAGUGUUUAUGAUAGGAUACAUUAUUCCUAGAGACAACCAUAAAGAUAAAAUAGUGAUCUGGUGUAUUUUUACCGAACAGUUCUUGUUUGUUUUGCAUGAUAUUUUUCUCUCGUUAGGGACCUUUAUUCUUUAUAUAUAGUAUUAUGAGCAUAUAUAUGGGUAAAUGUGGUAUAUAGUGCCUGUGGUUUUAAAACAUGUAUCUUAGCUUGCCUGGUGUAAUGAUAAGUAAUAAACCUGAGAAUUGAAACUAUGAGAAUAAAUUGUUGUUAUUAGUCCCCUUCUAUUUUCAUUAAGAGGGGACUAAAGGCUGACCCAUUUCUGUAUGUCAAUGAAAGCUGAAAGCUGAAUUUUGCUAUAACUUAAAUGGUACAAAAGUAAGGUUCAUCAUACUGGUAUCUGAUAUAGAACUAUACAGAGAUUUAGCAUGUUAUUAUAAUUUAUGCUCCUAUGAUUCUGGAUAAAUAUCUGUGUUCAUUCCAUACAGACUUGUACUUUUGGGGAAAAAGGUUGCUCAUGGGAGGAAAAUAUGUUUUUAAUGGUGUUUUUGAGAUUUUAGUUGAUAAAGGAAAAAAAAAACAUAGUCUGUACUUAGGAAGACAUUUGUCCUUCACACUCUUGUCCGAAAUAUGAAUAUAACUAGAUAUGUAUUGAAGGGAUUUUAUGUAAACUUCACAAAGUGAUAGAGACUUUUAAGAGGAAGUGCAAUGUUCAAGAAACAUAACUCUACCUUGCUUCAUGUUUUAAUUAUAUUCCUUAAGUUAAAAAUGCUUAUUCCAAACUAUCACUGAAUCUACAUCAACUUGAACGACUCGAAUUUUCCAAUGUGUCACAGAACCAUAACUC